AGAAUCAAAAAUCAUUUUUGAAGCUUCUAACUUUAAAAAAAGCAGUGAAAUUCUGUUAAUGAUUCU
rnacentral:tRNA from 1 species